rnacentral:rRNA from 1 species
GACGGAGGCUGCAAGCGUUAUCCGGAAUGAUUGGGCGUAAAGCGUCUGUAGGUGGCAGUUCAAGUCUGCUGUCAAAGACCGGGGCUUAACUUCGGAAAGGCAGUGGAAACUGAACAGCUAGAGUAUGGUAGGGGCAGAGGGAAUUCCUGGUGUAGCGGUGAAAUGCGUAGAGAUCAGGAAGAACAUCGGUGGCGAAGGCGCUCUGCUGGACCAUAACUGACACUCAGGGACGAAAGCUAGGGGAGCGAAUGGG